rnacentral:rRNA from 1 species
UACAGAGGGGGCAAGCGUUGUUCGGAAUUACUGGGCGUAAAGGGCUCGUAGGUGGCCAACUAAGUCAGACGUGAAAUCCCUCGGCUUAACCGGGGAACUGCGUCUGAUACUGGACGGCUUGAGUUUGGGAGAGGGAUGCGGAAUUCCAGGUGUAGCGGUGAAAUGCGUAGAUAUCUGGAGGAACACCGGUGGCGAAGGCGGCAUCCUGGACCAACACUGACACUGAGGAGCGAAAGCCAGGGGAGCAAACGGG